CCCUUAGAUGAUUUGGGCUGCACGCGCGCUACACUGACAUGUUCAACAAGCCUCCUAGUUCGACAGGAUUUGGGAAAUCUUUGAACGCAUGUCGUGAUAGGGAUAGAUCAUUGCAAUUAUUGAUCUUGAACGAGGAAUUCCUAGUAAACGCGAGUCAUCAGCUCGCAUUGAUUACGUCCCUGCCCUUUGUACACACCGCCCGUCGCACCUACCGAUUGAAUGUUUCGGUGAAGAUUCCGGAUAGGGCUUUUUUGAUUUAUUUCAAUUUUGUCUUAAAAGCUAUCUAAACCUCAACAUUUAGAGGAAGGUGAAGUCGUAACA
rnacentral:rRNA from 1 species